rnacentral:rRNA from 1 species
GACGAACGCUGGCGGCGUGGAUUAGGCAUGCAAGUCGAACGGUAGGAUACCUUCGGGUAUCUGAGAGUGGCGAACGGGUGAGUAACACGUAGGUGAUCUACCCUCAAGAUUGGGACAACCCAGGGAAACUUGGGCUAAUACCGGAUGAGAGCAGCAGUGAUGUUGUUUGAAAGGUGGCGUAAGCUGCCGUUUGGGGAUGAGCCUGCGCUCUAUUAGUUAGUUGGCGGGGUAAAGGCCCACCAAGGCGAUGAUAGAUAGGCGGCCUUAACGGGUGGUCGCCCACACUGGGAUUGAGAUACGGCCCAGACUCCUACGGGAGGCAGCAGUCGAGAAUAGUCUACAAUGGCCGAAAGGCUGAUAGUGCGACGCCGCGUGAACGAAGAAGCCCUUCGGGGUGUAAACUGCUUUUGUCAGGGAAGAAAUCUUCUGGGCUAAUACCCCGGGAGGAUGACGGUACCUGAAGAAUAAGCACCGGCUAACUACGUG